UCAGGUGGUAGAUAGCAUGAGGGUUCCACCUCUUCCCAUUCCGAACAGAGAAGUUAAACCUCAUCACGCCGAUGAUACUGCGAAAGCGGGAAAGUAGGUAACCGCCCCCU
rnacentral:rRNA from 1 species